rnacentral:rRNA from 1 species
GAUGAACGCUGGCGGCGUGCCUAAUACAUGCAAGUCGAGCGAACGGACGAGAAGCUUGCUUCUCUGAUGUUAGCGGCGGACGGGUGAGUAACACGUGGAUAACCUACCUAUAAGACUGGGAUAACUUCGGGAAACCGGAGCUAAUACCGGAUAAUAUUUUGAACCGCAUGGUUCAAAAGUGAAAGACGGUCUUGCUGUCACUUAUAGAUGGAUCCGCGCUGCAUUAGCUAGUUGGUAAGGUAACGGCUUACCAAGGCAACGAUGCAUAGCCGACCUGAGAGGGUGAUCGGCCACACUGGAACUGAGACACGGUCCAGACUCCUACGGGAGGCAGCAGUAGGGAAUCUUCCGCAAUGGGCGAAAGCCUGACGGAGCAACGCCGCGUGAGUGAUGAAGGUCUUCGGAUCGUAAAACUCUGUUAUUAGGGAAGAACAUAUGUGUAAGUAACUGUGCACAUCUUGACGGUACCUAAUCAGAAAGCCACGGCUAACUACGUGCCAGCAGCCGCGGUAAUACGUAGGUGGCAAGCGUUAUCCGGAAUUAUUGGGCGUAAAGCGCGCGUAGGCGGUUUUUUAAGUCUGAUGUGAAAGCCCACGGCUCAACCGUGGAGGGUCAUUGGAAACUGGAAAACUUGAGUGCAGAAGAGGAAAGUGGAAUUCCAUGUGUAGCGGUGAAAUGCGCAGAGAUAUGGAGGAACACCAGUGGCGAAGGCGACUUUCUGGUCUGUAACUGACGCUGAUGUGCGAAAGCGUGGGGAUCAAACAGGAUUAGAUACCCUGGUAGUCCACGCCGUAAACGAUGAGUGCUAAGUGUUAGGGGGUUUCCGCCCCUUAGUGCUGCAGCUAACGCAUUAAGCACUCCGCCUGGGGAGUACGACCGCAAGGUUGAAACUCAAAGGAAUUGACGGGGACCCGCACAAGCGGUGGAGCAUGUGGUUUAAUUCGAAGCAACGCGAAGAACCUUACCAAAUCUUGACAUCCUUUGACAACUCUAGAGAUAGAGCCUUCCCCUUCAGGGGGGCAAAGUGACAGGUGGUGCAUGGUUGUCGUCAGCUCGUGUCGUGAGAUGUUGGGUUAAGUCCCGCAACGAGCGCAACCCUUAAGCUUAGUUGCCAUCAUUAAGUUGGGCACUCUAAGUUGACUGCCGGUGACAAACCGGAGGAAGGUGGGGAUGACGUCAAAUCAUCAUGCCCCUUAUGAUUUGGGCUACACACGUGCUACAAUGGACAAUACAAAGGGCAGCGAAACCGCGAGGUCAAGCAAAUCCCAUAAAGUUGUUCUCAGUUCGGAUUGUAGUCUGCAACUCGACUACAUGAAGCUGGAAUCGCUAGUAAUCGUAGAUCAGCAUGCUACGGUGAAUACGUUCCCGGGUCU